ensembl:lncRNA
CUCCUGUCCACACGGGUCCUGAGCUGCCCACGCCCAGAAGAGAGGUCCAGUCGGAAGGUGCCGGAGAGCCAGGUGAGGGGGGACGCAGCUGGGGCAGGGCCAGUGCCCCUGCAUCCUGGGGGAGGGGCCCUCCCCCAUUAGCCCAGGACAGAAGGCGGAGGUCUGGGUGGGCACGGUGUCCUCGGAGGAAGCAGUGGAGCCCAGGCCCAGAGGGGGCUGCUGGCCGCUUGAACCGCAGGAGCUCAGGACGCACAGGAGCAGCUACGGCGCCUGCAGGAGGAGCGGACCUGCAAGGUGUGCCUGGACCGCGCCGUGGGCACCGUCUUUGUGCCCUGCGGACACCUGGUCUGUGCCGAGUGCGCGCCAGCCCUGCGGCUGUGCCCCAUCUGCAGGACCCCCAUCCGCAGCCGUGUGCGCACCUUCCUGUCCUAGGCCAGGCGCUUCAAGUGCUGGCUGCCACGCGGGCACCCUGCCCAUCUCAGCCUGUCCCUCGGGCCACAUGGCAGGCCUGCUGAGGACAGCUGAGCUGGCAUCCAGAACUGCUGUCCUAAGUCCCCGAAUGGAGCCCAGGGUAGAGGGGAGCUGCAGACGGCGUGGCAGAGGGAGGGGGUGUCAAGGAGCUUUUACUGAUGCUUUUGGAGAUUCACAAUAAAGUCGUGGGUUUUCCCCGGACGUGCUCAGCAGCCUCUGUGCCAGAACCGCCAGCCCUGCCCCUACCGCCCACCAGCAGGGCAGCGCGGCCGGACGUCUCCCCUGUGCCUUCUCGUGUCCAGCGGGGCCCCUCCUGCCCCCUCUCCUCUCCCUUGUUCUGCUCUUCUCAGCGCCGCCGCCGUGAGGACUAAAACCACGUAGCCUCGGGCCACUUCGGGCUGAGCUUGUAAUUCACCAGCUCCUGCCUCUCAGGGAAGGAGGUCUACUGGGCGGCGUCCUUUCUACUUUCUACCCGGGGGCACCUUGGGGACGCUGUUCUGUGUCCCUUCUGUGAACAGUGCCACUAGCUGAGGACAAGGAAGUCCCUUGCUCUGUGCACAGAGGGGGCCUGUGUUCCUGGUCAAGCCCAGCCGCCUACCCAGGGCUCCAUCGGCGACCCCGGGGGCGGGUGGGGGCUUUGCCUGGGUGACAGCUCACAGCAGCUGGGGUGUGCAGCGUUUAAUCAGGAACUUGGCUGCUGGUGGGCGGGGUGUCACUGUGGGUUUAUACUGACCAUCGUGGUGGGGUCACACUUUCCUGUCUCAAAGUCCCCGUGGCCACCCCUCCCCCAGCAACGGGGUGUGCAGGCUCGGGGGGUCCGGGGCGGGCAUCGGCACCCAAGGGAGGGCUCAUCAGACAGCAGUCCCAGGCCAGCUGUGGGUGACGGAGAUCCCAGCGCUGCUGGAGUCUUCUAUGUCUUUUCUUUGUUUUUUGUUUUUAGAAAAAGGAAAUUAUAAAUUCUUUUGAAGUUGCAGCCAUUCCUAGUCUGGCACUUGCCCUGAUACCCUGGCUGGUGUCUGAUCACCUGGCUCCGGGGGUAGGUGCUCUGGCUACCUGCAGGGCCCGAGGGCAGGGAGGCCCGCUGAGUCUCCUCGUCUUUGGUGCUCCCUGGGGCUGGAGGGCGCAUGCAGGAGGGGUUGGUGCUUUUUCACUUACGCAGGCCUCUGGGGGCAAGGUGGGGG